GCAGUGGUCGUUCAGUGGUAGAGUUCUUGCCUUCCAUGCAGGAGACCUGGGUUCGAUUCCCAGCCAGUGCG
rnacentral:tRNA from 1 species